GUGGGGAAUCUUGCGCAAUGGGCGAAAGCCUGACGCAGCCAUGCCGCGUGAAUGAUGAAGGUCUUAGGAUUGUAAAAUUCUUUCACCGGGGACGAUAAUGACGGUACCCGGAGAAGAAGCCCCGGCUAACUUCGUGCCAGCAGCCGCGGUAAUACGAAGGGGGCUAGCGUUGCUCGGAAUUACUGGGCGUAAAGGGCGCGUAGGCGGACAGUUUAGUCAGAGGUGAAAGCCCAGGGCUCAACCUUGGACUUGCCUUUGAUACUGGCUGUAGUUAGUACGGGAGAGUUGAGUGGAACUCCGAGUGUAGAGGUGAAAUUCGUAGAUAUUCGGAAGAACACCAGUGGCGAAGGCGACUCACUGGCCCGUUACUGACGCUGAGGCGCGAAAGCGUGGGGAGCAAACAGGAUUAGAAACCCCUGUAGUCC
rnacentral:rRNA from 1 species